CCAGGGAGGCUUGGACGAUAUAGUGGAUGGGAGCGUGUCCAUCUUCCUUUUGGAAUUUGGAUGUCGAGCGACCAACAUCGCCCCGAACAGGCUCAGCAAAAAUCAUUAAUGAAAAAGUUCCAAAGUCAAGAAAAGAAUAUUGUCAAAGCGCGAGUGGUAUCCAGCAGCAGCAAAGCAAAAGUCGCGGGACUACGAUAACUGAAGCUAGGUCGGCCACUGGGGCCAAGAUUGACGGAUUUGGCGCCUAGCAAUUUGGGCUGGCGAAGCAGCGGCGCUCCAAGCAGCUGAUCCGUCGCAGCACAGAGCGAGGGAGCAGAGACGCAGAAAAAAUUCAGAGAGGCUCGACCUUCGCGGGCAGCCGGAUCGACGUCGGUGAGGCGGCGGCCACAAAGCGGGACGGUCGAUAAUCCGCGAUAGCGGAAAGUUCAGCACCGGCGAAAUACGAACGGAGAAAAAGGAGGAAAAUAGCGCAAAUCCUACCCAAACGUGCCGUAUGGCAAAUACAGUUAACAAGGCCCAAUUAAGAUCCGCAGCACAUAGGGAAGGAAAGAGUUAGUGUGUUGUUGGAGUUCAAUACUCAGAGCUGCAAGGGUAAUGCCCCAAAAAAAUAAAGAGGGCGAGCGGAGCCAAAGGUGAUGCGCGCAUAGGCAGAGAGUGAAAGCGGGGGAGAGAGAGAACACGCAAGCAGCAAAGGCAGAGCCCAAUAGGAGAGCGAGCGAGCUAUAAAAACGCUCGCCAGCAACGGAGCCGAAGGGGGCUGGCGAUAAGCCGAGAGAAGUAACAUAAGUUAACAUAAGAGUAAGCAGAAUAGUACCGAGCAGCAGAACAGCUAUUUAAGUUUACAUACAUAUACAUAAA